rnacentral:rRNA from 1 species
UGGGGAAUUUUGGACAAUGGGCGAAAGCCUGAUCCAGCAAUGCCGCGUGUGUGAAGAAGGCCUUCGGGUUGUAAAGCACUUUUGUCCGGAAAGAAAUCCUUGGCUCUAAUACAGUCGGGGGAUGACGGUACCGGAAGAAUAAGCACCGGCUAACUACGUGCCAGCAGCCGCGGUAAUACGUAGGGUGCAAGCGUUAAUCGGAAUUACUGGGCGUAAAGCGUGCGCAGGCGGUUUGCUAAGACCGAUGUGAAAUCCCCGGGCUCAACCUGGGAACUGCAUUGGUGACUGGCAGGCUAGAGUAUGGCAGAGGGGGGUAGAAUUCCACGUGUAGCAGUGAAAUGCGUAGAGAUGUGGAGGAAUACCGAUGGCGAAGGCAGCCCCCCUGGGCCAAAUACUGACGCUCAUGCACGAAAGGCGUGGGGAGCAAACAGGAUUAGAUACCCUGGUAGUCCACGCCCUAAACGAUGUCAACUAGUUGUUGGGGAUUCAUUUCCUUAGUAACGUAGCUAACGGUGAAGUUGACCGCCUGGGGAGUACGGUCGC